GGAUGUAAGAGCAAUCUGACUGUGACAUCUAUCACUCCAUUGAUCACCUAAGCUGAUAGAGCUGAUCUGGCUGACUAGGUGGAUGUCCAGUUUCUCCCUCAUCACUCUCCUGAAGUUACAUAUGCUCCACUCAGAGGAUUGUCUUUCCUGAAUAGAGGAGGACUAGUCUUCUUCAUGUAGCUAUGCUCCACUGCUAGAACCUCCAAACAAACUCAAGUUUUGUAAAUUAUAAGUUUAAUUCCAAGACUAUUUUUGUUCUCUGUGUAUUCUUACUGUUAGUAAGCACUGCUUA
ensembl:misc_RNA 7SK 7SK RNA